ACGUGCCAGCAGCCGCGGUAAUACGUAGGGGGCUAGCGUUAUCCGGAUUUACUGGGCGUAAAGGGUGCGUAGGCGGUUUUUCAAGUCAGGAGUGAAAGGCUACGGCUCAACCGUAGUAAGCUCUUGACACUGGGAGACUUGAGUGCAGGAGAGGAGAGUGGAAUUCCUAGUGUAGCGGUGAAAUGCGUAGAUAUUAGGAGGAACA
rnacentral:rRNA from 1 species